CCUCAGUUGUAAUCAAAGGAAUGGAAACAGUAGCAGCUUUAAGGUAUCAUUUUAAUAUACCGAUUUUGGUAAAAACCUUUAAAAAGUGGUAAUAUACUCUGUGCAGGUGCAGUUAUGGUAAAAUCAAUACAUCCAGGUACUGUGACAUAAUAUUAAAUAGCAUAAGCCUCUUGGAAAUCAAUAAAGCAAUAUAUAAGAGCAGAAAUAAAGAGUAAUAUAUUAACCAAAAAUGUUAACAUCUUUGAUUCGAGUAAUUCCACUGUAUGGGAUUUAUGUUUGGCAGGCACCCACCUAAAUGAGCGUGAAGAUGUUCGUCACAAUAUUAUACAUAAUAUUGAAAACAUUGGAAGCUUACUAUGUCCAAUAAAUACAUUAUGGCUUAUCCACUUGAAGAAAUACUAUUAAACCAUUAAAAAUGAGAAUUAUAAAAACAACAUAGUGAUAAGGAAACUGCAAAUGACCUAACAGUAAAAGAAAAAAGUAGGAAGCAAAAAGUAUGUGUGAUAUAAUUGUAACUAAGUACAACUCUAUGUAGACUGUGGCAGAUACUGUUGGUGGCCAACACAACAUUUGUUCCUUUGUCCUUCUCCUCUGUCCUCAAAAUACUUGCUUUCUCAGCUUCACUUGAGCUGUGGUAGCCAUGUUACCAGUAAGAUAUAAACCAAAGUCUCCCGGAGGAAUUCAGGGAAAUAUGUUGCUUUACUGAUAAAUGGGAUUCUCACAGCUUUCACCAUCCCCUCCCUCUAUCCUCAUUCUGCCUUGAAUUUAGGCAAGAUGCCUGGAGUUGCAGCAGCCUCCUUGUGACAGUGAGGCAGCAAGCAUGUUAAAAGGCAACCUAUCAAGGAUGAUGGAGCAGCGACAUUGAAAGACCCUGUGUCCAUGACAUCAUUGUGCUGCCUCCCAACCCGGAAACAACCUGCUGCCAGUCUUUUGGCUGCUCUGGCUCUCUCUUCUCCUGUCAGUGACCCCAGCUUGGCAUGGAAGGGUCUGGAUCCAAGCCAAAGGGCUGUUUCCUGGUCCUAUGUGGAGGCGGCGGUAGGUGGAGCUCGAGGCUCUCCGCUGAGCUGGGCCGGGGAGUGGGACUCUUCACCUGGCCCUGGCAGGCGGAUGGGCGCUGGGGAGGCUCGGCGUCAGCGGCUGUGGCUCGAGGUAAAAAUAAUCAGGGAAGGACAGCUGCUUCCUUGUCAGCAACCAAGAGGGAAAUAAAGCUCAUGUCCCCUCCAGCGAAAACCUGCUCUCUGGGUCCCCUGGCUCCUGCCACCAACUGCUCGAUGUCUGUGUGCCAAUCCAAUUUGAAUGCCUGCGAGUCACCCCAGAGAGGGCUUAUUUUAACUUCAUCAAGUGCAGAGAAAAACAUCCAGGCUGGAGUGUGGGAGGGGAGGAGUAGCUGCUCGGGGGCCCCAGCAGGGGAUGGGAUCCGGGGGCUGCUGCCCCUCCAGUGGUUGGACCUGGGGUCCCUGCCUCCUAAUCUGGUUCAGCCGAGGCUUGGUGAGCACCCCCUGCGUGUUCCCCGAGCACCCCGUGCAUGUUCCCUGAAAUCGGGAGGAUAACGUCCCAACCCCUUGGCCCCACUCAGGAAGUCCUUUCCGACGUCCUCAACCUCUCCUAUCCCCUCUCUUCUCCAAAACCCUCCUCCAGCCUGUCCCAGGCUCUCCACGAAGGCCCAGACGGCCUGUUCUCUCAUGUCUCCAUGCCUUUGCACUCACCCUGCCUUCUCUUUGUUUCUUUGCCUGUUGGAUGUCUACAAAUUCUGGAAAGUUCCUAGUCAUGCUUCAAGACUCAGUGUCACUGGCUGCUUCCCCACCUCUCCGGGCAGAGUGAGAUGUUCUCCCUGGAUCCCCACAGGAUUUUGUACCCGCCUCUGUUGUCACAAGCCCUGUGCUGGGUGUCCAGGACAGAUGUGAACCCCAGCCGGUCCCUGCAGCACGAGGUUAGGAAUGUACGCAAGAGACUGUUUCUGACCGCGACUCCAAUGACAAGAGACUUACCUUUUUAGUUCAUUCAUUUAUUGUUUUUCUGUGCAUGUAGUGGUUUAAUAAUGAAAAUAACAAGAAAUGUUU